UCAAGUGAAGAAGCGCAUACGGUGGAUGCCUUGGCAGUCAGAGGCGAUGAAAGACGUGGUAGCCUGCGAUAAGCUUUGGGGAGUCGGCAAACAGACUGUGAUCCAGAGAUCUCUGAAUGGGGGAACCCACUCAGCAUAAGCUGAGUAUCUUGUACUGAAUACAUAGGUGCAAGAGGCGAACCAGGGGAACUGAAACAUCUAAGUACCCUGAGGAAAAGAAAUCAACCGAGAUUCCCUUAGUAGUGGCGAGCGAACGGGGACCAGCCCUUAAGUUGAUUUGAGAUUAGUGGAACGCUCUGGAAAGUGCGGCCAUAGUGGGUGAUAGCCCCGUACACGAAAAUCUCUUAUCAAUGAAAUCGAGUAGGACGGAGCACGAGAAACUUUGUCUGAAUAUGGGGGGACCAUCCUCCAAGGCUAAAUACUACUGACUGACCGAUAGUGAACCAGUACCGUGAGGGAAAGGCGAAAAGAACCCCGGAGAGGGGAGUGAAAUAGAACCUGAAACCGUAUGCGUACAAGCAGUGGGAGCCUACUUUGUUAGGUGACUGCGUACCUUUUGUAUAAUGGGUCAGCGACUUAUAUUCAGUGGCGAGCUUAACCGAAUAGGGGAGGCGUAGCGAAAGCGAGUCUUAAUAGGGCGUUUAGUCGCUGGGUAUAGACCCGAAACCGGGCGAUCUAUCCAUGGGCAGGUUGAAGGUUAGGUAACACUGACUGGAGGACCGAACCGACUACCGUUGAAAAGUUAGCGGAUGACCUGUGGAUCGGAGUGAAAGGCUAAUCAAGCUCGGAGAUAGCUGGUUCUCCUCGAAAGCUAUUUAGGUAGCGCCUCAUGUAUCACUGUAGGGGGUAGAGCACUGUUUCGGCUAGGGGGUCAUCCCGACUUACCAAACCGAUGCAAACUCCGAAUACCUACAAGUGCCGAGCAUGGGAGACACACGGCGGGUGCUAACGUCCGUCGUGAAAAGGGAAACAACCCAGACCGUCAGCUAAGGUCCCAAAGUCAUGGUUAAGUGGGAAACGAUGUGGGAAGGCUUAGACAGCUAGGAGGUUGGCUUAGAAGCAGCCACCCUUUAAAGAAAGCGUAAUAGCUCACUAGUCGAGUCGGCCUGCGCGGAAGAUGUAACGGGGCUCAAACCAUGCACCGAAGCUACGGGUAUCACCUUUUGGUGAUGCGGUAGAGGAGCGUUCUGUAAGCCUGUGAAGGUGAGUUGAGAAGCUUGCUGGAGGUAUCAGAAGUGCGAAUGCUGACAUGAGUAACGACAAUGCGAGUGAAAAACUCGCACGCCGAAAGACCAAGGUUUCCUGCGCAACGUUAAUCGACGCAGGGUUAGUCGGUCCCUAAGGCGAGGCUGAAAAGCGUAGUCGAUGGAAAACAGGUUAAUAUUCCUGUACUUCCAGUUAUUGCGAUGGAGGGACGGAGAAGGUUAGGCCAGCCUGGCGUUGGUUGUCCAGGUUUAAGGUGGUAGGCUGAAAUCUUAGGCAAAUCCGGGAUUUCAAGGCCGAGAGCUGAUGACGAGUUGCCUUUAGGCGACGAAGUGGUUGAUACCAUGCUUCCAAGAAAAGCUCCUAAGCUUCAGAUAACUGGGAACCGUACCCCAAACCGACACAGGUGGUUAGGUAGAGAAUACCAAGGCGCUUGAGAGAACUCGGGUGAAGGAACUAGGCAAAAUGGCACCGUAACUUCGGGAGAAGGUGCGCCGGCGAGGGUGAAGGACUUGCUCCGUAAGCUCAUGCCGGUCGAAGAUACCAGGCCGCUGCGACUGUUUAUUAAAAACACAGCACUCUGCAAACACGAAAGUGGACGUAUAGGGUGUGACGCCUGCCCGGUGCCGGAAGGUUAAUUGAUGGGGUUAGCGCAAGCGAAGCUCUUGAUCGAAGCCCCGGUAAACGGCGGCCGUAACUAUAACGGUCCUAAGGUAGCGAAAUUCCUUGUCGGGUAAGUUCCGACCUGCACGAAUGGCGUAACGAUGGCGGCGCUGUCUCCACCCGAGACUCAGUGAAAUUGAAAUCGCUGUGAAGAUGCAGUGUAUCCGCGGCUAGACGGAAAGACCCCGUGAACCUUUACUAUAGCUUUGCACUGGACUUUGAAUUUGCUUGUGUAGGAU
rnacentral:rRNA from 1 species